rnacentral:rRNA from 1 species
UACGGAGGGUGCAAGCGUUACUCGGAAUCACUGGGCGUAAAGCGCGCGCANGCGGUCUUUUAAGUUGGAUGUGAAAUCCUAUGGCUCAACCAUAGAAACUGCAUCCAAAACUGAAAGAACUANAUUCUGGGAGGGGAAGAAUGGAAUUAGUGGUGUAGGGGUAAAUUCCGUAAAAAUCACUAGGAAUACCAAAAGCGAAGGCGAUCUCCUGGAACAUUACUGACCCUAAGGCCCAAAACCUUGGGGAGCAAACAGGAUUAAAUACCCUGGUAUUCCACCCCCUAAACUAUAAAUGUUAUUCUUCGGGGGGCUUGUCUCCUCGGUGAUGCANCUAACNCAUUAAACAUUCCGCCCUGGGGAGUACGGUCGCAAGAUUAAAACUCAAAGGAAUNAGACGGGGACCCGCACAAGUGGUGGAGCAUGUGGUUUAAUUCGAAGAUACGCGAAGAACCUUACCUGGCCUUGACAUUGAUAGAAUCUGCUAGAGAUAGCGGAGUGCCCUUCGGGGAGCUUGAAAACAGGUGCUGCACGGCUGUCGUCAGCUCGUGUCGUGAGAUGUUGGGUUAAGUCCCGCAACGAGCGCAAGCCCUCGUCACUAGUUACUAACGGUUCGGCCGAGGACUCUAGUGAGACUGCCUUCGUAAGGAGGAGGAAGGUGAGGACGACGUCAAGUCAUCAUGGCCCUUACGGCCAGGGCGACACACGUGCUACAAUGGGAUGUACAAUGAGACGCAAUACCGCGAGGUGGAGCAAAUCUAUAAAGCAUCUCUCAGUUCGGAUUGUAGUCUGCAACUCGACUACAUGAAGCUGGAAUCACUAGUAAUCGUAGAUCAGCCAUGCUACGGUGAAUACGUUCCCGGGUCUUGUACUCACCGCCCGUUACACCAUGGGAGUUGAUUUCACCCGAAGCGGGGAAGCUAAACUGGCUACCCUCCACGGUGGAAUCAGCGACUGGGGUG